UCCGAACAUGUGGCUCCUGGACUUAAAGAAACGAUAACAUCAGACACUUGUGUAACGGUGUAUCGUUCUAACUACUCUCCAAACUCUGCAAAGUCAGCGUUGCGUGCCCGGGAUCGAACCCCCGACUCCCUGAAUAGGAAGGAAGCUAUGUUUUAACAACUAAGCUAUCACCGCUAGUUUACUUAUUCCGUUUGCUGAAUAUUCCAGGCCUCAUGAAAGGAUGGAAGGUGCUAGAAGAUUCCAGAUCUGAUUUCCACUGGAAUAGACGGUAAACGAUAAAGGACUUGAUCAUUGGAACCCAGCGUGCUCAAUGGUACACUUCAUCGAAAGGCUGUAUGCUUCAGAUGGCGCACGGGGUCGUGCGAGAGCUUACGAAACCAAACUCUUAUGACGAGAUGAAGGCGAGCCUCAUGGUGGAAGGUGCUACAAGAUUCCAGAUCA